AGUACACGGGGUAUGGGUAGU
rnacentral:miRNA from 1 species